rnacentral:rRNA from 1 species
ACUCCUACGGGAGGCAGCAGUAGGGAAUCUUCCACAAUGGGCGCAAGCCUGAUGGAGCAACACCGCGUGAGUGAAGAAGGGUUUCGGCUCGUAAAGCUCUGUUGUUAAAGAAGAACACGUAUGAGAGUAACUGUUCAUACGUUGACGGUAUUUAACCAGAAAGUCACGGCUAACUACGUGCCAGCAGCCGCGGUAAUACGUAGGUGGCAAGCGUUAUCCGGAUUUAUUGGGCGUAAAGAGAGUGCAGGCGGUUUUCUAAGUCUGAUGUGAAAGCCUUCGGCUUAACCGGAGAAGUGCAUCGGAAACUGGAUAACUUGAGUGCAGAAGAGGGUAGUGGAACUCCAUGUGUAGCGGUGGAAUGCGUAGAUAUAUGGAAGAACACCAGUGGCGAAGGCGGCUACCUGGUCUGCAACUGACGCUGAGACUCGAAAGCAUGGGUAGCGAACAGGAUUAGAUACCCUGGUAGGCUAGCG